rnacentral:lncRNA from 1 species
UAGGAUGGAAUCUUGAGGCUGGGUCUCUGUCCACGACAGCUUUACCGGAGUGUUUCUUCUGGUACUGCGUAAGACUCUUCAGAGGUGAUUUCUUAUCUGUGAGACAAGACAGUAAAUCUGUAAAUAGAAGUAACACGGAGGAAGAAACUCAGCCAGAAAACGAAGAAUUAUCCAUAACCAAAAAGGUUUUAGACAUUCUUUGUGUCUGGAUGGCCAGAGAAAAGUUUGUUUUUGCAUUCAAGUGCUCGGUGUCUCUAGGCCUUGCGGUUCUAUUUGGUAUUAUGUAUAAUAAACAGAAUGGGUAUUGGUCGGGUCUUACUGUAGCCAUUAGCCUUGUAAGCGGGAGGCAAGCAACACUAACAGUAGCAAAUUCUCGCCUACAAGGGACAGCGAUGGGAUCAGUCUACGGUCUGUUAUGUUGUUAUGUUUUCCACAGACUAGAAGAAUUCAGGUUCUUACCUCUGCUCCCUUGGAUAAUCCUUGCCGUCUUCAUGAGGCACAGCAAAGUCUACGGCCAACCUGGAGGAGUUACAGCUGCCAUUGCUGCACUGUUGAU